GAGUGCGGAGCUCAGGACGCCAUUAGGAGAAGAGCUGAGGACAGACAGGUCUGAGGAGCAGAGCAGGAGUUCUGGGAAGGAGAAGAGCAAUAUGAAGAUGGAGUCUAAGAUGACAUCAGGUGACUUCUGUGGAGGGAGACAUGCUGGACAGCGCCAAGGACUGGGGAGACAACCAGUAAGAACAAAGAGGUGUUCUUACACCUGGAAAAGACUAUAUAAGGCUGAUGCCCCAUCUCCAUCUUGUCUUCAAUCCUGCUUCAUAC